AUUGAACGCUGGCGGCAGGCUUAACACAUGCAAGUCGAGCGGGGUGAUGGUGCUUGCACUAUCACUUAGCGGCGGACGGGUGAAUAAUGCUUAGGAAUCUGCCUAUUAGUGGGGGACAACACCUCGAAAGGGAUGCUAAUACCGCAUACGUCCUACGGGAGAAAGCAGGGGAUCACUUGUGACCUUGCGCUAAUAGAUGAGCCUAAGUCGGAUUAGCUAGUUGGUGGGGUAAAGGCCUACCAAGGCGACGAUCUGUAGCGGGUCUGAGAGGAUGAUCCGCCACACUGGGACUGAGACACGGCCCAGACUCCUACGGGAGGCAGCAGUGGGGAAUAUUGGACAAUGGGGGGAACCCUGAUCCAGCCAUGCCGCGUGUGUGAAGAAGGCCUUAUGGUUGUAAAGCACUUUAAGCGGGGAGGAGGCUCUUUUGGUUAAUACCCAAGAUGAGUGGACGUUACUCGCAGAAUAAGCACCGGCUAACUCUGUGCCAGCAGCCGCCGUAA
rnacentral:rRNA from 1 species